UUGGAGGGCAAGUCUGGUGCCCGCAGCCGCGGUAAUUCCAGCUCCAAUAGCGUAUAUUAAAGUUGCUGCAGUUAAAAAGCUCGUAGUUGAAUUUCGGGACCAUCAUGUCGGUCGUGCCUCGGUACGUACUGGUAUUGUUGGUUUCUCCCUUCUGACGAACCAUGAUGUCAUUUAUUUGGUGUUGUGGGGAAUCAGGACUGUUACUUUGAAAAAAUUAGAGUGUUUAAAGCAGGCUCACGCUUGAAUACAUUAGCAUGGAAUAAUGAAAUAGGACGUUUGAUUCUAUUUUGUUGGCUUCUAGGAUCGACGUAAUGAUUAAUAGGGAUAGUUGGGGGCAUUAGUAUUCAAUUGUCAGAGGUGAAAUUCUUGGAUUUAUUGAAGACUAACUACUGCGAAAGCAUUUGCCAAGGAUGUUUUCAUUAAUCAAGAACGAAAGUUAGGGGAUCGAAGACGAUCAGAUACCGUCGUAGUCUUAACCAUAAACUAUGCCGACUAGGGAUCGGAUGAUGUUAAUUUUUUAAUGACUCAUUCGGCGCCUUACGGGAAAC
rnacentral:rRNA from 1 species